rnacentral:tRNA from 1 species
GGGGUGGUAGCUCAGCUGGCUAGAGCGCUUCCCUGUCACGGAAGAGGUCGCGGGUCCGAGUCCCGUCCACCCCG